rnacentral:lncRNA from 1 species
GGAUGGACGUCUAAAAGGUGGUGGGGGUGGGGGGUAGAAAACAUGCAUCUCUAUGUUCCACGAGAGUCAAGAAUUCAGCAUAACUCAGAUCUUGUGGCCGAUAUGUGAGGAAACCUAGGCCUCUCUUUACACAUACAUCAUAAAUCUGAGACAAUUAGGGAGGAGGAAAAUGGGUGAGCUCAUUUGUUUUUGUUCGGGGUCCUGGAUGCUGAGGGGUCAGGGGCUCGCGCUGUCAAGUGAACUGUGGAUGGCUGCUGUCGAAGGAGAAUAAAUCAAAUCCAACAGACAGGCCUCGACAAAAGUGCUAUUUGAAAAGGCCCAAAACAUUGGCUCGGAUGUCUGCGAGCCGAGGGGUCCCGCGGAUCUGCAGGGCAAAAGAAACUCAACCAUUGCUGUCGAAACUAGGAAAACCACUGUUUUCCAUCCAUAUGAAAAUCCCAAGUCCAAAUCAAUCCCCGAUGCAACGCCUGUAAUGAAAACCACGAAGACAAAAGCAGCGACUGGACACCAUGUUGUGCUUUUAAACGUGUUCUCCUUUGGCUCCAAGCAGCAGUGACAG